GCUCAUCAUUGACCACAUUGUUCAGGGGUUUGUAAAAUUCAGCCAGAAUUUCUGAGUGCCGUUCAUUGAAGUUACAUUGAUGGAGCAUGAAAAACCUUGUGAUAAUACAACCAUGUGUGUGAUUUUUGAGAGCUUCAAAACAACCUUGUCAGCAAAGGCCCGAAACGUCAGCUUUUGUGCUCCUGAGAUGCUGCUUGGCCUGCUGUGUUCAUCCAGCUUCACACGUUGUUAUCUUGCCAGCAAAUAGAGAGGAAUGAUCUUCAUAGUGGAAAAGACAAUAAUGCAAGUGACCUCCAUUGAUAACGCAGGGAUGGCAGCUGACACAAUCUUUCCUAGCUCAGUCA